rnacentral:rRNA from 1 species
AUUGAACGCUGGCGGCAGGCCCAACACAUGCAAGUCGAGCGGGGUUUUCGGACCUAGCGGCGGACGGGUGAGUAAUGAGUAGGAAGCUGCCCGAUAGAGGGGGAUACCAGUUGGAAACGACUGUUAAUACCGCAUAAUGUCUACGGACCAAAGUGUGGGACCUUCGGGCCACAUGCUAUCGGAUGCGCCUACGUGGGAUUAGCUAGUUGGUGAGGUAAUGGCUCACCAAGGCGACGAUCCCUAGCUGGUUUGAGAGGAUGAUCAGCCACACUGGAACUGAGACACGGUCCAGACUCCUACGGGAGGCAGCAGUGGGGAAUAUUGGACAAUGGGCGCAAGCCUGAUCCAGCCAUGCCGCGUGUGUGAAGAAGGCCUUCGGGUUGUAAAGCACUUUCAGUAGGGAGGAAGCGUUGUGUGUUAAUAGUACACAGCGUUGACGUUACCUACAGAAGAAGCACCGGCUAACUCUGUGCCAGCAGCCGCCGUAACAC